GUGAGUUGUCUGUUACAAAUGCACCGGAUCCCAUCAGAACUCCGAAGUUAAGCGUGCUUGGGCGAGAGCAGUACUAGGAUGGGUGACCCCCUGGGAAGUCCUCGUGUUGCACCU
rnacentral:rRNA from 1 species